rnacentral:rRNA from 1 species
AGGGCAUACGGGGAAUGCCUAGGCUCUGCAAGGCGAAGAAGGACGUGAUAAGCUGCGAAAAGCCGCGGGGAGGUGCAAAUAACCGAUAAUCCGCGGAUAUCCGAAUGGGGCAACCCACCAUAUAAAUGGUACCUCGAAACGAGGAGCGAACCCUCUGAACUGAAACAUCUAAGUAAGAGGAGGAAGAGAAAACAACAGUGAUACCGCAAGUAGUGGCGAGCGAACGCGGCACAGCCCAAACCGGACACGUUUAGGCGUAUCCGGGGUAGUAGGACUGCGAGAAACAAGUAUAAAAAGAACCGGAACGGCAUGGAAAGGCCGUCCGUAGAAGGUGAAAGACCCGUACGGGCAAUUUUUAUACGCGUUAGCAGUAUCCUGAGUAGGUCGGGGCACGAGAAACCCAGACUGAAACCGGCGGGACCACCCGCCAAGGCUAAACACUCAGCAGAGACCGAUAGUGAACAAGUACCGUGAGGGAAAGGUGAAAAGAACCUUGAAUAAAGGAGUGAAAAAGACCCUGAAACCGUAUGCCUACAAGCGGUCGGAGCCCAUUCAUUGGGUGACGGCGUGCCUUUUGCAUAAUGAUCCUACGAGUUACUGUUACCGGCAAGGUUAAGCGCUUCAGGCGCGUAAGCCGCAGCGAAAGCGAGUCUUAAAAGGGCGAAUUAGUCGGUAGUAGUAGACGCGAAACCUUGUGAUCUACCCAUGGCCAGGUUGAAGUGGGGGUAACACCCCAUGGAGGACCGAAUCGGUAAGCGUUGAAAAGCUUUCGAAUGAGCUGUGGGUAGGGGUGAAAGGCCAAUCAAACUGGGAAAUAGCUCGUACUCCCCGAAAUGCAUUUAGGUGCAGCGUCGCGGUUAAGUGAUAUAUAGGUAGAGCUACUGAUUGAAUGCGGGGGCUUCACCGCCUACCAAUUUCAGACAAACUCCGAAUAGUAUAUCACAUACGCGGCAGUGAGGGCAUGGGUGCUAAGGUCCAUGCCCGAGAGGGAAACAACCCGGACCAACAGCUAAGGUCCCCAAAUAUACGCUAAGUUGAAAAAACGAAGUAGAACUGCACAGACAGCCAGGAAGUUGGCUUGGAAGCAGCCAUUCUUUUAAAGAGUGCGUAACAGCUCACUGGUCGAGCGGUUCUGCAUGGAGAAUAAGCGGGCAUAAGCGUAUUACCGAAGCUAUGGCAGAUAACAAUCUGGGUAGGGGAGCAUUCCGUACAGCGCAGAAUCGGUAUUGUAAAGUACCGUGGAGCGUACGGAAAAGCAAAUGUAGGAAUAAGUAACGAUAAAGCGGGCGAGAAACCCGCUCACCGAAAGACCAAGGGUUCCCCGGCUAUGUUAAUCAGCCGGGGGUCAGUCGGGCCCUAAGGACAAGCCGAAAACAGGCUACUCCGAUGGACAAACGUUUAAUAUUACGUUACUCGUAUCGAGUGCGACGGGGCGACCUGGUAAUACCUCUUCGCGUGCUGACGGAAUAGCACGUUAAAGACUUUACUGGGCCGGGAGGCAAAUCCCCCGGCGGAAAGGUAAAGUUGAUAGUACACCCAAGCUACGGCGACGGUGAUAGCAAGACUAAAAAUCAGCAAGAAAAACCUCUAAGCUUCAGCUCGAUACGACCCGUACCGGAAACCGACACAGGUGGUCGAGAAGAGAAUUCUAAGGUGCUCGAGAGAUUCAUGGCUAAGGAACUAGGCAAAAUGACCCUGUAACUUCGGGAAAAAGGGUCACCGCAGCAAUGCGGUCUCAGAAAAUAGGUCCAGGCGACUGUUUAACAAAAACACAGGACUUUGCAAAAUCGAAAGAUGACGUAUAAGGUCUGACACCUGCCCGGUGCUGGAAGGUUAAGAGGAGAUGUCCGCAGCAAUGCAAAGCAUUGAAUUGAAGCCCCAGUAAACGGCGGCCGUAACUAUAACGGUCCUAAGGUAGCGAAAUUCCUUGUCGGGUAAGUUCCGACCUGCACGAAUGGUGUAACGAUCUGGACACUGUCUCAGCCAUGAGCUCGGUGAAAUUGUAGUAUCGGUGAAGAUGCCGAUUACCCGCUGCGGGACGAAAAGACCCCGUGAACCUUCACUACAACUUAAUAUUGUUUUCGGGUAAGUCAUGCGUAGGAUAGGUGGGAGGCUGUGAAGCGGUUACGCCGGUAGUCGUGGAGCCACUGUUGAAAUACCACCCUUGACUUAU